ensembl:lncRNA FAM230B family with sequence similarity 230 member B
AAGAAGAUGGUCCAGGAGAAGCUCAUUCCAUGCUUGUUAACCAGGCACGCCCCUAAGUUCCAGUCCCUGAGUCAUUCAUGAGUAGCACUGCCAAUGAACUGACAGCCAUGCUGUGUCCCUCCACAUCCCCUAGGUGACUCGAAGAAGCCUUCCAAAAAGCAUGUGAAAAGGAAGCCCUACUCUACUACCAAGGUGACUUCAGGGAGCACAUUCAAUGAGAAUACAAGAAGAUAUGCUGUGCACACCAACCAGUGUAGGAGACCUCAUGGCUCCCGGGUAAAGAAGAAGAGGUACCCACAAGAAGAUGACUUCCAUCAUACAGUCUUCAGCAACCUUGAAAGAUUGGACAAGCUUCAGCCCACUCUUGAAGCCUCUGAGGAGUCUCUAGUUCACAAGGACAGAGGAGAUGGAGAGAGGCCAGUCAACGCGAGGGUGGUGCAGGUGGCCCCUCUGAGGCUUGAAUCUA